AUUUAUAUAGUUUAACCAAAACAUUAUAUUUUCAAUAUAAAAAUAAACCCAUUUUAUAAAUU
rnacentral:tRNA from 1 species